rnacentral:lncRNA from 1 species
GCAUUCCAAUACAGCACCUUCUGCCUGCCACGCCCAGUCUCCAGGGCUGGAAUACAGAUGUGAGCAGGACCAUUCCUGGCCUCCCGGCUCUGAGGAGGCGAAGCGCAGGCCCACAGCUGUGCGGCAGGAGCCACCCUCACAGCAGAGCCGGUGUAGACGCUUGAACGGCUCCUGCAGACACUCCCCUCUCCCCCUCUUAAAAAAACAAAUGCCCUGGCCUCCAUAGCCCCCAACAUACCUGCUUGUGCCCUCCUCUCUCCACUGGUAUCACAAACAGAAACAUCAAUCUGCCUUUGUUUUGCCAGAGGGGCAAGGCUGUGGAACCCCAGAAGACAGGCCUCUGAGAGGACCCGGGUCACCCGGACCUGGACUCAAA